rnacentral:rRNA from 1 species
AUUAAACGCUGGCGGCAGGCCUAACACAUGCAAGUCGAGCGGCAGCGGGAAAGUAGCUUGCUACUUUUGCCGGCGAGCGGCGGACGGGUGAGUAAUGCCUGGGGAUCUGCCCAGUCGAGGGGGAUAACUACUGGAAACGGUAGCUAACACCGCAUACGCCCUACGGGGGAAAGCAGGGGACCUUCGGGCCUUGCGCGAUUGGAUGAACCCAGGUGGGAUUAGCUAGUUGGUGAGGUAAUGGCUCACCAAGGCGACGAUCCCUAGCUGGUCUGAGAGGAUGAUCAGCCACACUGGAACUGAGAAACGGUCCAGACUCCUACGGGAGGCAGCAGUGGGGAAUAUUGCACAAUGGGGGAAACCCUGAUGCAGCCAUGCCGCGUGUGUGAAGAAGGCCUUCGGGUUGUAAAGCACUUUCAGCGAGGAGGAAAGGUUGGUAGCUAAUAACUGCCAGCUGUGACGUUACUCGCAGAAGAAGCACCGGCUAACUCCGUGCCAGCCGCCGCCGUAACAC